rnacentral:lncRNA from 1 species
UGCCAUAUUUCCCAUUUCUUUGGUACCAUAGUUGAGCAUGAAUUUUUGUAAAGUGAUUUACUCAUGUGGGGUUUACAUGAGGGGUUUAAAGAAGCUAAAACAAUUGCAUGGUUUUAAGAAAAUGAAUGCAUCAUGAUUUCGAUAAACAUUCCUUAUGGUAUGCUUGUUCCCUUCUUGUUCACUCACUGAGUAUUGUACUC